AACGAACGCUGGCGGCAUGCCUAACACAUGCCAGUCGAACGAGACCUUCGGGUCUAGUGGCGCACGGGUGCGUAACGCGUGGGAACCUGCCCUUAGGUUCGGAAUAACUCCCCGAAAGGGGUGCUAAUACCGGAUAAUGUCUUCGGACCAAAGAUUUAUCGCCUUUGGAUGGGCCCGCGUUGGAUUAGCUAGUUGGUAGGGUAAAAGCCUACCAAGGCGACGAUCCAUAGCUGGUCUGAGAGGAUGAUCAGCCACACUGGGACUGAGACACGGCCCAGACUCCUACGGGAGGCAGCAGUGGGGAAUAUUGGACAAUGGGCGAAAGCCUGAUCCAGCAAUGCCGCGUGAGUGAUGAAGGCCUUAGGGUUGUAAAGCUCUUUUACCCGGGAUGAUAAUGACAGUACCGGGAGAAUAAGCUCCGGCUAACUCUGUG
rnacentral:rRNA from 1 species